UCAACCCUCAGUCAAUCCUUAAAAGAAUAAAGGAAUAAAUCUAUGAAAUUGACUGAAAUGUUAGGCAGUUUGUCUUCUCAGUCCGUCUGCUUGGUCAGGACAAACGAAGAGUUUCUGUGAACAUCCAUAUUCAAGCUUUGCCACAGAUUCUUCAUUGCAUUUAUUGUUUUUGUUUCGACUGCAUGUUUAGUAUCGUCGUCCUGUUGUGGUGAGCAUCAGCGCCAGGCUUAAACCUUCUCUGACUAAUGCUCUCCUCGUCCUUCAUGUUAGUUUAGGUGGACGGCCAUGUCUUGGUAGGUUUGUUAAAAGCUUAGGAUAGUUUAAAAACAAAUCUCACUGUCAGGGUUCCUGUGUGCAUGUGUGAGUGCGAGUAACACAUCUCUUCCUGCGAGGAUCUUGGUGGAGAGCCUGGGCAGCCUUCACAGGUGGAGCUCAUCUGCCUCAUCAGAGUGCUGGGGAUAAAGGAGCAGCAGAGCCUUCACUCAGUGCUGGAUGAUUAACUUCUACUGGAUUUGUCACUGCAUCUUUCUAGAGGAAUCAGUUCAACCAUUUUCUCCUCCUGUGGAACCCACCAGUAAGGACCUGCCUGCCUGCUCCACUGUUCACCCCAUCUCCACUCCUCUCAUCAGACCUCUGGUUCUCGGUCACCACCUACCUCGCACUCGCCUCAGGAAGCGCCAUCACCACUCCACACAGGACCCCUGGGCACCUCUCUCCCACGCUUCAUUAAACCCAUUCGAAAGUAAGCUUUAUCUACUUCAUCUGAUCAACUCAUUACAGACCACCAAUAACCCCAACUCUCGUUCCAGGCGCCAUGGAUUGCGUGACACUAACCGCUCCCAGAAACGUCAAGGAAACCUGUCAAUUGUUUGUUCCUUUGAAAGAAAAUAAAACCUAUUCAUUACUUGGA